rnacentral:rRNA from 1 species
CCAGACUCCUACGGGAGGCAGCAGUGGGGGAUAUUGCACAAUGGGGGGAACCCUGAUGCAGCGACGCCGCGUGAGUGAAGAAGUAAUUCGUUAUGUAAAGCUCUAUCAGCAGGGAAGAAUAAAUGACGGUACCUGAGUAAGAAGCCCCGGCUAACUACGUGCCAGCAGCCGCGGUAAUACGUAGGGGGCAAGCGUUAUCCGGAUUUACUGGGUGUAAAGGGAGCGUAGACGGCGAUGCAAGCCAGAUGUGAAAGCCCGCGGCUCAACUGCGGUAGUGCAUUUGGAACUGUAUGGCUGGAGUGCAGGAGAGGCAGGCGGAAUUCCUAGUGUAGCGGUGAAAUGCGUAGAUAUUAGGAGGAACACCAGUGGCGAAGGCGGCCUGCUGGACUGUAACUGACGUUGAGGCUCGAAAGCGUGGGGAGCAAACAGGAUUAGAUACCCUAGUA